CCUGGAACUGGAGUUAAGGACGGUUCGUAGCCUCCAUGUGGGUCCUGGGAAUCGAACCCAGACCCAGAGCUAGAAGAGGCCUGUGCCAGUGAACCUGGAACUGACAGGUGUGGAGACAGGCAGAGCAGACCUUCAUCACUCUGCUACAGGCUAUGAGGCUAGACCGAUGUGCAGAUAUGCAGUUUUCACAGGUCUAAAUCAGCACCGAAUGGAUGAGCAUAGUCAUGAGUGUGUUAAACACUGUGGUGACAGUGCAUGGAGCUCAGACUAAAGGCCGCAGCAAUAUGUGUUGACAUCGAUAAGCUUGCAAAGGGCUGCCCACUCACUUUCCCACAGCCUUCUAUGGUUUUCACUCUGAUGGACAAGCUGCAGUGAUAAAGCUCAUCCAGGCAGUAACAACCAAGUUCGCAAACCUCUUCUCUCUGAGCCUCUCAAACCUCCCAGCUCUCAUACAUCCCUGAAUGAAACUGUUUACCUUCCCCAAAGAGGACACCGCAAGCAACUUGAAGGAAUUCGGCAUUCUUAACGGAUCUUCUCAUCUCCAACUCCUAAAACCUUUCCAGCAUAGAGGAUGCCUUCAUUGAAUGCUGUUUUAAGGUUUAUUUUUAUUUAUGUGGAUAAGUGUGUAUGUGUAUGUUCAUGCAUUCAUGAAGGUGCCCUCAGAGGCCAGAAGAGAGUAUUACACCCCCUGGAGCUAGAGUUAUGAGCCACCUGAGUGCUAGGAAUUGAACUUGGGUUCUCCAGAAGAGUACCAAAUGCUCUUAACCAGUGAUCCAUCUUUCCAACCAACCCAUCAGUGAAUGUUCCCUGCUGUUACUUAAAGACAUAAGUAAUGUCAUCUGUUGUUGACAAAUUUGAGGAUUAAGGAGAAAAAAGCUAUUUUCACUCAUGUAGAUUCUAGUUUUCUGUAUGUUUCCCCAUAUAAUCAUCAGUUAUUACUUGUUUGAACAACUGUGUGGUUCAUUUAAAGUAAUAUGAUUCCAUCUGAACUUAUGUGCAAGCACUAGUCUUCUAGAGCAUAUUAAUUAACUCCAAUUUUACCUUUUGCACAAAUGAUAGCACUGUAGAAGAUAGGAAAAUCCACUCCAAGAGUGAGCAUCUCUGCCAAUGUCUCAGAGGAAAUUGGAGUUUGCUGAAGACUAGGCAGACUUCUACCCUUUCUUAUCAAAUGUUUACUCAGUCUGGAAUCUCUCCAGCCUUUUUAUGCUGUAAUUUUAAAUGAGUGUCUUUUUAUAGCUUCAUGCCUAUAU